rnacentral:lncRNA from 1 species
GAAUCUCCACCACCACCAGUUUACAAAUACAAGUCACCUCCGCCGCCACCUUAUUACUACAAAUCCCCACCGCCACCUCCAUACAAGUACGAGUCUCCACCUCCUCCUCCGUACAAGUAUGAAUCUCCACCACCACCACCUUAUUACUACAAAUCCCCCCCGCCACCUCCAUACAAGUACGAGUCACCGCCUCCUCCUCCGUACAAGUAUGAAUCUCCACCACCGCCAGUUUACAAAUACAAGUCACCCCCGCCACCACCUUAUUACUACAAAUCCCCGCCACCACCUCCAUACAAGUACGAGUCUCCACCUCCUCCUCCGUACAAGUAUGAAUCUCCACCACCACCUCCUUAUUACUACAAAUCCCCGCCGCCACCUCCCUACAAGUAUGAAUCCCCGCCACCACCUCCCUACAAAUACGAGUCACCUCCACCACCACCUUACUAUUACAAAUCUCCUCCACCGCCUCCAUACAAGUAUGAGUCGCCACCACCACCAGUCUACAAAUACGAGUCUCCGCCACCCCCAGUUUACAAAUACAAGUCGCCCCCUCCACCUUAUUACUACAAGUCUCCGCCACCCCCGCCAUACAAAUAUGAAUCCCCACCUCCACCUCCCUACAAGUAUGAAUCGCCUCCUCCUCCACCUUACUACUACAAGUCCCCUCCACCACCUCCCUACAAAUAUGAAUCCCCGCCACCACCUCCCUAUAAAUACGAGUCACCACCACCACCACCUUACUAUUACAAAUCUCCUCCACCGCCUCCAUACAAGUAUGAGUCGCCACCACCACCUCCCUACAAAUACGAGUCACCACCACCACCACCUUACAAGUAUGAAUCCCCACCUCCACCUCCGUACAAGUAUGAAUCACCUCCACCGCCUCCAUACAAGUAUGAAUCCCCUCCUCCACCUCCCUACAAAUACGAGUCACCACCCCCACCACCUUAUUACUACAAAUCGCCUCCGCCACCGGAGUAUCAAUCACCUCCUUACGUGUAUAAAUCUCCACCUCCACCCUCGUACUAGGAGCUAAGGAGCAUUUGAUUUUCAGGUGAGAAAUCUAUAGAACCACAGUUCCUAGUUUUAACAAGUUUUCAAAUUCAU